AUACGUAGGGGGCGAGCGUUGUCCGGAAUGAUUGGGCGUAAAGGGCGCGUAGGCGGCCCGGUAAGUCUGGAGUGAAAGUCCUGUUUUUAAGAUGGGGAUUGCUUUGGAUACUGUCGGGCUUGAGUGCAGGAGAGGUAAGUGGAAUUCCCAGUGUAGCGGUGAAAUGCGUAGAGAUUGGGAGGAACACCAGUGGCGAUGGCGACUUACUGGACUGUAACUGACGCUGAGGCGCGAAAGUGUGGGGAGCAAACAGGAUUAGAUACCCUGGUAGUCCACACUGUAAACGAUGAAUGCUAGGUGUAAGAGGUAUCGACCCCUUUUGUGCCGGAGUUAACACAAUAAGCAUUCCGCCUGGGGAGUACGGCCGCAAGGUUGAAACUUAAAUGAAUUGGCGGGG
rnacentral:rRNA from 1 species